AGUCUCCCCGCGGCGGGGAAGCGGAUCGCGUGUGUGCCCGACCGUCCUCACGGCGCUGCAAACGAAUAUUUUUAGAUAACACUCGGGGAGUGCAAAUAGUAUAUUCGCGAGUAUAGUGAAAGCGCGCACUUUCGCGAGCGGCGGCGACCGGCCCGGGAGCCGCGUGUUUUUCGCGUUCAUAUUCGAACGGCGGCCGUCGCGCCGCCAGCUGAGACGUCCCGAUAGGUAAGCUGCGCACUUCCUGCUCGCGCCGCCAUGUUCGCUGGGGACGUCACUUCCGCCGGCGCCGGAACCGGCGGCCGGCCGCGCGGACCCCGCUGCGCCCGCGCCGGCUCGUCGCCGCUCCGUUCAGGUCAAUGAGCGACGGCUCUCGAUUCAUAAAAUGUCGGUCGUUCCAUUCACGCCGCGCGCGGCUCCGUCGCCGCUCACUCGUGACCCUCGCGUCUCGGAAUAUCCAUGUCUCCGGCGCGCCCCGGCUGGCCGCGCCGGAUGCGCGGGGCCGGACGAGGCCGGCCGGGAGCGCGAGUGCCGCCUGCCGCGCCGCGCACCCUGUGGACGAACUGUGAAUGUGUACUAAAGUGAAUCGACAAUGUGAUUAUCAGUUGCUAAUCAUGGAAUUUCUCAUCUAGGACCGUAAGAUUUGAGGGCUGCAAAGAACUACUGCUGUGAAACAUCAUUCAAGACUAGCUAAAACAGCAAAAAAUGAGGGGAAUGAUGUCAUGUCGGGAGCGCCGACGUACCCGGGCCAUUCAUAAACGAGUCUACGCUGUAUGUACUCGGGGCGAACGGAAGGGACUGGUUGGAUAGCGCACUUGGUCCA